AGUAAGGAAUAUUGGGCAAUGGACGAAAGUCUGACCCAGCCAUGCCGCGUGCAGGAUGACAGCCCUAUGGGUCGUAAACUGCUUUUAUAAGAGAAGAAACCUUCGGACGUGUCCGAGGCUGACGGUAUCUUAUGAAUAAGCACCGGCUAACUCCGUGCCAGCAGCCGCGGUAAUACGGAGGGUGCAAGCGUUAUCCGGAUUUAUUGGGUUUAAAGGGUGCGCAGGCGGCUUAUUAAGUCAGUGGUGAAAUCUCUCGGCUCAACCGAGAAACUGCCAUUGAAACUGAUAAGCUUGAGUGUAGUUGUAGUAGGCGGAAUAUAGCAUGUAGCGGUGAAAUGCUUAGAUAUGCUAUAGAACACCGAUCGCGAAGGCAGCUUACUAAACUAUCACUGACGCUCAUGCACGAAAGCGUGGGGAGCAAACAGGAUUAGAUACCCUGGUAGUCCACGCCGUAAACGAUGAUAACUCGAUGUUGGCAAUAUACCGUCAGCGUCCAAGCGAAAGCGUUAAGUUAUCCACCUGGGGAGUACGAUCGCAAGAUUGAAACUCAAAGGAAUUGACGGGGGCCCGCACAAGCGGAGGAGCAUGUGGUUUAAUUCGAUGAUACGCGAGGAACCUUACCUGGGCUCAAACGUAGAGUGACCAUCUGUGAAAGCAGAUUUUCCUUCGGGACAGUCUACGAGGUGCUGCAUGGUUGUCGUCAGCUCGUGCCGUGAGGUGUCGGGUUAAGUCCCAUAACGAGCGCAACCCCUAUCUUUAGUUGCCAUCAGGUAAUGCUGGGGACUCUAAAGAAACUGCCUACGCAAGUAGUGAGGAAGGUGGGGAUGACGUCAAAUCAGCACGGCCCUUACGUCCAGGGCUACACACGUGCUACAAUGGUCGAUACAGAGGGCAGCUACCUGGUGACAGGAUGCAAAUCUCGAAAAUCGAUCUCAGUUCGGAUCGAAGUCUGCAACUCGACUUCGUGAAGUUGGAUUCGCUAGUAAUCGCAUAUCAGCCAUGAUGCGGUGAAUACGUUCCCGGGCCUUGUACACACCGCCCGUCAAGCCAUGGAAGCUGGGAGUACCUAAAGUUCGUCACCGCAAGGAGCGACCUAGGGUAAAACUAGUAACUAGGGCU
rnacentral:rRNA from 1 species